UGCAGAAAUCAAAGGUUUCCCUGUUCCAGCUCCUCCCUGGAAGAUCAUUGCAGUGAUUCUGGGGAUCUUCUGCCUGAUAUUGUUAGGAGUCUCAGUGGCCUUGGCUAUCAAGUAACCUGUUCCUGGGGAUCCAUACAGAAGAACACUGG